rnacentral:rRNA from 1 species
AUUGAACGCUGGUGGCAGGCCUAACACAUGCAAGUCGAACGAGUGGCGGACGGGUGAGUAAUGUAUGGGAAACUGCCCGAUGGCGGGGGAUAACUACUGGAAACGGUAGCUAAUACCGCAUACCAUCGGAUGUGCCGAGAUGGGAUUAGCUAGUAGGUGGGGUAACGGCUCACCUAGGCGACGAUCCCUAGCUGGUCUGAGAGGAUGACCAGCCACACUGGAACUGAGACACGGUCCAGACUCCUACGGGAGGCAGCAGUGGGGAAUAUUGCACAAUGGGCGCAAGCCUGAUGCAGCCAUGCCGCGUGUGUGAAGAAGGCCUUCGGGUUGUAAAGCACUUUCGGCGGGGAGGCGGUACCCGCAGAAUAAGCACCGGCUAACUCCGUGCCAGCAGCCGCGGUAAUUC